GGGCAGGUUCCGGAGUGGCCAAACGGGGCAGACUGUAAAUCUGCUGGCUCUUGCCUUCAGUGGUUCGAAUCCACUCCUGCCCA
rnacentral:tRNA from 1 species